rnacentral:rRNA from 1 species
UGGGGAAUAUUGGGCAAUGGAGGCAACUCUGACCCAGCAACGCCGCGUGAGGGAAGAAGGUUUUCGGAUUGUAAACCUCUGUCCUAGGGGACGAAGAAAGUGACGGUACCCUAGGAGGAAGCCCCGGCUAACUACGUGCCAGCAGCCGCGGUAAUACGUAGGGGGCGAGCGUUGUCCGGAAUUACUGGGCGUAAAGGGUGCGUAGGCGGUUUGGUAAGUUAGAUGUGAAAUCCCCGGGCUUAACUCGGGAGUUGCAUUUAAAACUGCUGAACUAGAGUGCAGGAGAGGAAAGCGGAAUUCCUAGUGUAGCGGUGAAAUGCGUAGAUAUUAGGAGGAACACCAGUGGCGAAGGCAGCUUACUAUGCCGUUACUGACGCUGAUGCACGAAAGCGUGGGGAUCAAACA